rnacentral:rRNA from 1 species
UUAAGUUAUUAAGGGCGCACGGUGGAUGCCUUGGCACUAGAAGCCGAUGAAGGACGUUACUAACGACGAUAUGCUUUGGGGAGCUGUAAGUAAGCUUUGAUCCAGAGAUUUCCGAAUGGGGAAACCCAGCAUGAGUUAUGUCAUGUUAUCGAUAUGUGAAUACAUAGCAUAUCAGAAGGCACACCCGGAGAACUGAAACAUCUUAGUACCCGGAGGAAGAGAAAGAAAAUUCGAUUCCCUUAGUAGCGGCGAGCGAAACGGGAAGAGCCCAAACCAACAAGCUUGCUUGUUGGGGUUGUAGGACACUCUAUACGGAGUUACAAAGGACGACAUUAGACGAAUCAUCUGGAAAGAUGAAUCAAAGAAGGUAAUAAUCCUGUAGUCGAAAAUGUUGUCUCUCUUGAGUGGAUCCUGAGUACGACGGAGCACGUGAAAUUCCGUCGGAAUCUGGGAGGACCAUCUCCUAAGGCUAAAUACUCUCUAGUGACCGAUAGUGAACCAGUACCGUGAGGGAAAGGUGAAAAGCACCCCGGAAGGGGAGUGAAACAGAACCUGAAACCGUGUGCUUACAAGUAGUCAGAGCCCGUUAAUGGGUGAUGGCGUGCCUUUUGUAGAAUGAACCGGCGAGUUACGAUUUGAUGCAAGGUUAAGCAGUAAAUGUGGAGCCGUAGCGAAAGCGAGUCUGAAUAGGGCGUUUAGUAUUUGGUCGUAGACCCGAAACCAGGUGAUCUACCCUUGGUCAGGUUGAAGUUCAGGUAACACUGAAUGGAGGACCGAACCGACUUACGUUGAAAAGUGAGCGGAUGAACUGAGGGUAGCGGAGAAAUUCCAAUCGAACCUGGAGAUAGCUGGUUCUCUCCGAAAUAGCUUUAGGGCUAGCCUCAAGUGAUGAUUAUUGGAGGUAGAGCACUGUUUGGACGAGGGGCCCCUCUCGGGUUACCGAAUUCAGACAAACUCCGAAUGCCAAUUAAUUUAACUUGGGAGUCAGAACAUGGGUGAUAAGGUCCGUGUUCGAAAGGGAAACAGCCCAGACCACCAGCUAAGGUCCCAAAAUAUAUGUUAAGUGGAAAAGGAUGUGGCGUUGCCCAGACAACUAGGAUGUUGGCUUAGAAGCAGCCAUCAUUUAAAGAGUGCGUAAUAGCUCACUAGUCGAGUGACACUGCGCCGAAAAUGUACCGGGGCUAAACAUAUUACCGAAGCUGUGGAUUGUCCUUUGGACAAUGGUAGGAGAGCGUUCUAAGGGCGUUGAAGCAUGAUCGUAAGGACAUGUGGAGCGCUUAGAAGUGAGAAUGCCGGUGUGAGUAGCGAAAGACGGGUGAGAAUCCCGUCCACCGAUUGACUAAGGUUUCCAGAGGAAGGCUCGUCCGCUCUGGGUUAGUCGGGUCCUAAGCUGAGGCCGACAGGCGUAGGCGAUGGAUAACAGGUUGAUAUUCCUGUACCACCUAUAAUCGUUUUAAUCGAUGGGGGGACGCAGUAGGAUAGGCGAAGCGUGCGAUUGGAUUGCACGUCUAAGCAGUAAGGCUGAGUAUUAGGCAAAUCCGGUACUCAUUAAGGCUGAGCUGUGAUGGGGAGAAGACAUUGUGUCUUCGAGUCGUUGAUUUCACACUGCCGAGAAAAGCCUCUAGAUAGAAAAUAGGUGCCCGUACCACAAACCGACACAGGUAGUCAAGAUGAGAAUUCUAAGGUGAGCGAGCGAACUCUCGUUAAGGAACUCGGCAAAAUGACCCCGUAACUUCGGGAGAAGGGGUGCUCUUUAGGGUUAACGCCCAGAAGAGCCGCAGUGAAUAGGCCCAAGCGACUGUUUAUCAAAAACACAGGUCUCUGCUAAACCGUAAGGUGAUGUAUAGGGGCUGACGCCUGCCCGGUGCUGGAAGGUUAAGAGGAGUGGUUAGCUUCUGCGAAGCUACGAAUCGAAGCCCCAGUAAACGGCGGCCGUAACUAUAACGGUCCUAAGGUAGCGAAAUUCCUUGUCGGGUAAGUUCCGACCCGCACGAAAGGCGUAACGAUUUGGGCACUGUCUCAACGAGAGACUCGGUGAAAUCAUAGUACCUGUGAAGAUGCAGGUUACCCGCGACAGGACGGAAAGACCCCGUGGAGCUUUACUGUAGCCUGAUAUUGAAAUUCGGCACAGCUUGUACAGGAUAGGUAGGAGCCUUUGAAACGUGAGCGCUAGCUUACGUGGAGGCGCUGGUGGGAUACUACCCUAGCUGUGUUGGCUUUCUAACCCGCACCACUUAUCGUGGUGGGAGACAGUGUCAGGCGGGCAGUUUGACUGGGGCGGUCGCCUCCUAAAAGGUAACGGAGGCGCUCAAAGGUUCCCUCAGAAUGGUUGGAAAUCAUUCAUAGAGUGUAAAGGCAUAAGGGAGCUUGACUGCGAGACCUACAAGUCGAGCAGGGUCGAAAGACGGACUUAGUGAUCCGGUGGUUCCGCAUGGAAGGGCCAUCGCUCAACGGAUAAAAGCUACCCCGGGGAUAACAGGCUUAUCUCCCCCAAGAGUUCACAUCGACGGGGAGGUUUGGCACCUCGAUGUCGGCUCAUCGCAUCCUGGGGCUGUAGUCGGUCCCAAGGGUUGGGCUGUUCGCCCAUUAAAGCGGUACGCGAGCUGGGUUCAGAACGUCGUGAGACAGUUCGGUCCCUAUCCGUCGUGGGCGUAGGAAAUUUGAGAGGAGCUGUCCUUAGUACGAGAGGACCGGGAUGGACAUACCUCUGGUGUACCAGUUGUCGUGCCAACGGCAUAGCUGGGUAGCUAUGUGUGGACGGGAUAAGUGCUGAAAGCAUCUAAGCAUGAAGCCCCCCUCAAGAUGAGAUUUCCCAACUUCGGUUAUAAGAUCCCUCAAAGAUGAUGAGGUUAAUAGGUUCGAGGUGGAAGCAUGGUGACAUGUGGAGCUGACGAAUACUAAUCGAUCGAAGACUUAAUCAA